rnacentral:rRNA from 1 species
AUUGAACGCUGGCGGCAGGCCUAACACAUGCAAGUCGAGCGGAUGAAAGGGGCUUGCUCCUGGAUUCAGCGGCGGACGGGUGAGUAAUACGCAGGAAUCUACCUAGUAGUGGGGGAUAACGUUUCGAAAGGGGCGCUAAUACCGCAUACGUUCUGAGGAAGAAAGCAGGGGAUCGCAAGACCUUGCGCUAUUAGAUGAGCUUGCGUCCGAUUAGCUAGUUGGUGGGGUAAAGGCCUACCAAGGCGACGAUCGGUAACUGGUCUGAGAGGAUGAUCAGUCACACUGGAACUGAGACACGGUCCAGACUCCUACGGGAGGCAGCAGUGGGGAAUAUUGGACAAUGGGGGCAACCCUGAUCCAGCCAUGCCGCGUGUGUGAAGAAGGCCUCGGUUGUAAGUAC